GAUGAACGCUCGCGGCAGGCUUAACACAUGCAAGUCGAGGGGCAGCGCGGGAUAGCAAUAUCCUGGCGGCGACCGGCGGAAGGGUGCGUAACGCGUGAGCGACAUGCCCGUUGCCCGGGGACAACCGGUGGAAACGCCGACUAAUCCCCGAUGGGAUAUUGUGCCGCAUGGCACGAUAUUGAAAGUUACGGCGGCGACGGAUUGGCUCGCGUCCGAUUAGCUGGUUGGCGGGGUAACGGCCCACCAAGGCUGCGAUCGGUAGGGGUUCUGAGAGGAAGGCCCCCCACAAUGGGACUGAGACACGGCCCAUACUCCUACGGGAGGCAGCAGUGAGGAAUAUUGGUCAAUGGGCGGAAGCCUGAACCAGCCAUGCCGCGUGCGGGAAGGAGGCCCUAUGGGCUGUGAACCGCUUUUGCCUGGGGGCAAUAAGGGCGUCGCGCACGUCCGAUGAGAGUACCAGGCGAAUAAGCAUCGGCUAACUCCGUG
rnacentral:rRNA from 1 species